rnacentral:rRNA from 1 species
UACGAAGGGUGCAAGCGUUACUCGGAAUUACUGGGCGUAAAGCGUGCGUAGGUGGUGAGUUAAGUCUGUCGUGAAAGCCCCGGGCUCAACCUGGGAAUGGCGAUGGAUACUGGCUCGCUAGAGUGCGGUAGAGGAGAGUGGAAUUCCCGGUGUAGCAGUGAAAUGCGUAGAGAUCGGGAGGGACAUCAGUUGCGAAGGCGGCUCUCUGGACCAGCACUGACACUGAGGCACGAAAGCGUGGGGAGCAAACAGG